UCAAUUGGAAAUUGGAAGCGGCGGCACGCGGUCGCACGUUUUCGCUUGCUUUCAAGUUCGGUGUGCAAUUCAAAUAACAAAUUAGCCUUUUUACAACAAGUGUUUUGUAAUAAAAUGACGGAAUUUGAUUUUGUGCCAAUAGCCGUGGGCGUGGUUGCCGUAGUCGCUGGAGCCUUGAUAGUGCAUUAUCUGCUAAACAAAAAGUCCACAAAGCCACGUCGGGAACCCAAUCGCACGGCUCGCCUGCGCACUCUGGUUGAUCCCAAUGACAAAUACCUACUGCCCCUCAUCGAGAAGGAAAAUCUAAGCCACGACACCAGGCGGUUCCGUUUUGGAUUGCCCUCUAAGCAGCAUGUUCUUGGUCUGCCCGUUGGGCAACACAUCCAUUUGAUUGCUACUAUCGAUAAUGAGCUUGUCAUUCGUCCAUACACACCCAUCUCAUCCGAUGAGGAUGUGGGCUAUGUCGACCUAGUGGUAAAGGUUUACUUCAAGGAUUCUCAUCCGAAAUUCCCUGCCGGUGGCAAGAUGACACAGCACCUUGAACAGCUGGAAUUGGGCGACAAGAUCUCGUUCCGCGGUCCCUCUGGACGACUACAGUAUCUCGGCAACGGCACAUUCUCCAUUAAGAAGUUGCGAAAGGAUCCGCCCAAGCAUGUGACCGCCAAGCGGGUGAACAUGAUUGCCGGCGGCACUGGCAUUACUCCAAUGCUCCAACUGGCCAGAGAAGUGCUCAAGCGCAGCGAUAAGGACAAGACUGAACUGGCGUUGCUGUUCGCCAAUCAAAGCGAAAAGGACAUUCUGCUGCGCGGUGAACUGGACGAACUUGCCCAGAAACAUCCCGACCAGUUCAAGGUCUGGUACACAGUCGAUAAGGCCGGAGAAGCUUGGUCCUACAACACUGGUCAUGUGAACGACGAUAUGAUGCAGCAGCAUCUCUAUCCGCCGGCUGAGGACACGUUGUGCCUGCUGUGUGGUCCACCACCAAUGGUCAAUUAUACGUGUAUUCCGGGCUUGGAGCGACUUGGCCAUCGGGCCGAGCAGCGGUUUAGCUAUUAGGAUUAGCUCCAGCUGACAUAACUAGAUACUAUCCCUCUGUUUUGCUCUCAUUUCACAAUGUCAUAACAGUGGGAGAGAUUGGGUGCAGCAGGUUGGCCAUAUAGCGUUGGCUUCAUAAAUGAGGACAUGAUUGCUGCCCAUUUGCUUCCCGCUAAGGACGAUACUAUUGUACUGCUGUGUGGCCCACCGCCCAUGAUCAACUUUGCCU